rnacentral:misc_RNA from 1 species
UUAACGUUUCGUUGUUCCGAUUCAUUCAGACAGAUUCCGUAGUUAGACUCGGAGGUUAUUCUUUCCCUUCCGCCGGGCGCAUAUAUAUAUUAAUAUACGCCCGGCGGAAGCAACAGGACAGCGUACGCAGGGUGGGUAUAUACAGCUCACGCAGCGGCAUGACUGGAUUACAUGGUAAUGAUCCUUCCGCAGGUUCACCUACGGAAA